CUUCAGACAUGGAACUCCACCCAAAGCAAGCCUGGGGCACAGGGACAGAAGAAAGCUCUUCCCAAGGAGGGCUCCUCAGGCGUCGGGAGUGCAGAGAAGAACCUACCUCACCUUUUCUUUGAGGGCAUUCGUUUGCCGACUUCAGGUCUGCAAGCUAGGUAGAACUGCUUCUUGUUGAUUCAUUUGAGAAGCAGCUCAAGAGGGAUUAACUGGCAGGUGGAAGGACCGUAAACCAAGUAGACUAAGACGGAGCAGGUUGUACUAGUAAAAUGCGGACGCCUGAUGGUGAAGCUCUUACCAUGUGCCAAUUACUGGGCAAGUACUUUCCAGAGAUUACCUACAUACUGCACACAGAUAUGACUUAAGAGGAGAAAGACUAUGGCGCAGCCCAUAAAGUGGAAUACAAGGCGAAGAAUCGGGGCAUCUCCGGGUCUGAUGGCAGGAGAAAAUGGACAGUCACUCUCGGGCUCCUCGAUGAAUUGGUACCAGUCAUUUUGUGUCCAGGCAUCAUUCCUUCGACGUUAAAACUCAAUAGUUCCUUGAAGGAAAGUCAAGAUGAUGUUAAGAAGAAUGAAUGCCAGCCACAAAAAUGACAGACCUCACUCAGAAGGCAAUAAUUCCAACAGCAAUGACAGCUCAACUUUAUUGAGCACUUACUCUGUGCCAGGCAUUAUAUCAAUUGAUUUACAUCCUCACAACAAAUUUCAGGUGCAGGUGCUUGCAUCAGUUUCCUGAGACCAUGUAACAAAUUGCCACAAAUUGGGUGGCUUGAACAAACAGGAAUUUACUCUCCCAUGAUUCUGGAGCCCAGACAUCUGUAACUAAUAUUUCAGCAGGGCUGGAGGUUCCAGGGCAGAAUCCUCCUUGCCUCUUCCAGAUCCAGCUUAACAGGCCAGCAUCAUCAAAAUGGUGGCAAUAAAACUCAGCUUCACAUCCACACCCACCAGCAGAAUGGCUGCCAGCAUUCCCUGGCUUCCAUGGCAUGUGGCCUCUUUACUCCUGCCUCCGCCUCUUUCUUCGUAUCAGCGUCUCCUCUUCUGCCCUACAUCUUCUCCUCUUCUUACAAGGACACUUGUCAUUGGAUUUGGGGCCCACCUGGACCACCCAGGAUGGUCUUAUCUCAAGAU
rnacentral:lncRNA from 1 species